rnacentral:piRNA from 1 species
GAGAGAUUCAGAGAUGGAACACACCA